AACAGAAAUUAGGUCCCUUAAUAUAGUUGUGAUGGCUUGAGAUCAAUAUAUGGAAGGGACACUGCACUUUGAUGCUUCAAACCAAGGUAAUAUUUCCUUCAAAGAUGUUAAAUUUCAGCAUUAAUUUCUACAAUCAAAGACUCUCUAUGAACAAUAACCUAAACCAAACCAAUUUAAAUCAUCAAAUAAAAUUGUGUCACUUUGGUUGUUCUAGAGAUAUUUAAGAAUUGAGAUCAUGAAAGGAGUGGCCUAGAAAAGAAAGUUUCCUUUAAUUUGUUUUUUCAUAUAUAUAUAUAUGAUUAUUCAUUUAAUUUGUAAGUUUAGAAAAUAAUGAAACAAUUAAAUGAAUCAUGGAACAAUGAACAAGAACAGAGAAACAUACCAGCUGUGAAUGAGGAGAAUGAAGUAGGUGAAGAAGCAGCAACAGAGCAACUAAAGUUUAUGAGUGUAGAAACAAAGCAGUGGCCACUUGUCCCAUUGGGAUCUCUUUGCCUCUAUUCUCUCUACCUUAUUAUACACACAAGAGACUUUAGGGCUUAAAUAAUAAAUGAAUAACCAUAUAUGGUCCAAAAAUACAAAACAAAAUAAUAUACUUUAUUAGAAAAAAUUUCAUAUCUAAAAUAUUAAAAUUAUUUUGAGUCAAUUAAACGAACCUCGACGUACCAUAAGUCCUAGCUCAACUGACAAAAAUGUCGAAAUUGUUAGACCGGACAUCAUGACCGGGGUUUGAACCCCGAUACCUCCGUUUUGUGUGUGUGAAUUUAUGAUGACUUUGCCAUCUCAACUAAGAGAUGCUUUAAUUGCAUAACCUCUCCUCUUAUGAGAAAGAGCAAUGCUAUAUACAUUUUACUUCUCUCUUAUAAAAAAAAAAAAAACAUAUCUAAGAUAAAAUUACUCUAUGAGACUAUGACCUCCUUGAAAGCAUUCAAACGCAACACCUUGAGGUUGCAAUGCAAGCCGUUAUGUAUCAAUGAUCUAACACCUCAAGUGUGACAAACAAUCUUCUCAUUUCAACAUAAGCAAACUUCUAAUGUAUAAUAUUUUCUCUUUUUUUCCUUCAAAAAAAAAAAAAAAAUUUCUCUUUUUUAUUUACGAUUCAUUAACGUAUGGUUUCAAACCUAAUAAAUAAAAUCUUGAGAAAAUUACUAAAUCCGAUAAAAAAAAGAUGCUAUUUAAAUUGACUUUUAUACUCUAGAACCAUAACAUUGAUAAUAAAUUAAUGUUCGAAGUUAAUUAUUAUUGUCAUUUAAAGUUAUAAAGAAAUAAAAAUUGAUUUUUUAAAUAUUGUCUUAAGUUUUUAUGGUGGCUUAAAGUUAAUUGUUAUCAUAAAAAGAAAUAAUUUGUCUUAAGUUUUUAUGGUGGCUUAAAGUUAAAGUUAAUUUGUAAAAUAAAUUAAAGAGUAAUACAAAUUUAAUUUUUAAGCAAGAAGCGUAUAAUUCAAACAUCUAUGAGAGUAUGAAAGGAAAACUUACUCUAUAUAAUUAACUCACAAAAAAAGGACAUGUAUAUUUUAACAUAAGAAGACAGUCAAGUGUGAUUUAGAUGUCUCUUAGACAGCAGAGUAUAAUUUAUUAAUUUUUUUAUAAAUGAUAAUAAAAAUAUUGAAUUUUGUCAAAAGAAUUUUCAUAUUUACUCUUUUAUUUAAUUAAAUUUUUAGAGAAAAUUACACUCAUCUUUUUAACUUAUGCUUUAAAUACAUAUAUUUCUUCAUAUAUACACCUAUAUAAAAAUAGAAGAGGUGAUGUUUUUUUUUUUCUUUCUAAUUUAUCAACUAAAACAAAAAAUAGGAGACGUGUGUGUCAUUUAAUUAGAACAAUGGGAAGUUUACAUGUGAUAUUUUCUCAAUUUAUAAAAGUUGUGAUUAUCUACAAAAUACUAGAAAUGUAUGUGUUUUCUGGCAAGAAUCUAAAGUUAUAAGAAUUUUUAGCUCUUUAGUAAAUUUACAGAAUAUUCCCACAAAUUUAAAUGUUCUGAAAUGCUAUUCCAAUUUACCCCCGAAGAAUAUGCUUAAAUUGCAAAUUUUCUUUACAAACAAUCUGAUAAAAACAAUCUGAAAAACAAACCUAUUAAAAUAAGGGAGUAUGCUAAAAAAAAAAAUCUCAUAGAUUUUUGCCACUAAAAAUAUUCUUAUUUAAGAUAAUCAAAUGGUAUAUAAAAACUCAAAUCAAAUUUAAACUUUGAUUCGUUAAAUUAUACUUAUUUAAUCUUAUUUAUAAGAAACAACAAAAAUUGAUGUAUUUGAUUAAGAAUUUGAACCAAAUACAUUAACUUUUUUAACGAAAAUAUCUAUUAUAAAUAAGAUCGAAAGACGUAGAAGACUGACCUCUUUCGCUAAAUCCAACCCACCUUAGUUGAGAGUGUGCUAUUGAAUAAUAUGAAAAGAAAAGUGAGUUCGAUUUCUUCUAAUAUUUAACAAAAUAUGUUAAAUAAAUGGGUCUGUUUAAUAAAUCCUUUAAUUAUCAAUUAAUUAAUACAAUUAGAAAUAAAGGGAUCUAGGAAGAAAGGUGUUACAUACAUUCAUUGAACCUAGACACAUAAAAUGAAGAAAGUACGGAGGAACAUUUUGGUUGAAGGACGAGCUGUAAAAAGUUUGGUAUAUCACGAUACAUAUUCGAAGGAACAGCAUCUUUGUAACGUUUUCAGGAAAAAAACAAAAGCAAAAAAGAAUAGAGCAUCAACAUCAUCAACGAUUCAUCUUUAGUAAUGUUCCCUUUCUUGUGUAUAAAAACAUUAUAAUAUAUCAUUCAACCACCACGCCACGCAUUUGUGUUUUCUUGCUCUUUGGGUGCAACCAAUGGCUCAUCACUCAUGUUCUUAAGUUCUCUAUUUUUUAGGGACUCAAUCAAGACGGAAAUAUGUCUAUAAUUCAAAAAUGGAGUGUUGCAAAUUGCAUAUCAAUCAAUAAUUCAAACCCAAAAAAAGAAAGAAUAUAAUUUGGCUCUUUUAGUGUACCAUAGAGUCGUUAUUAUUCUUUAAGAAUAUAUAAAUGAUAUUUGAACAUCCAUUUUAUGAUAAUUUUUGUGACAACUUUCUCUUUCAUACUAACAUUUUUUACUUUAUCUUUCUAUUGCUUUCGUUUUCGUGCACAUACCAACUUUUUCUUUGUAAAUUAUGGUUGUCACAAAAGUUGUCAACCAAAUAGUUGUUCAAAUAACACUCCUUUUAAGAAUAAUAUGGUACUCCAUCAGCUUCAUAACAAGUGUCACUUUAGCAACAAAAAAAAAAAACUUUCAAAACGAAUGUCACUUUAUAUUUUUGUGGGUUUGCAAGUGUGAGUUAUAUGUCCCACAUCGAAUAAAAUAGUAAAGGUUGAACACCUUAUAAGUAAGGGGACCCAUAAACUCAUUGCCUUAAGAUUUUGGGUAAGAGUGUGGUGUCUCUCUUGCUUGUACGGUUGUUCUAGCCUCGAUGUGGACGGUCCCCCGAGCUCCCCUUGUGACCCAACAGUGGUAUCAGAGCCCCGGUUCGACGAAGGGUGCGACUGAGGCCGCCGGUCGAUGGACUCACACUUGAGGGGGAGUGUUGGUUUGCAAGUGUGAGUUAUAUGUCCCACAUCGGAUAAAAUAGUAAAGGUUGAACACCUUAUAAGUAAGAGGACCCAUAAACCCAUUUCCUUAAGGUUUUGGGUAAGAGUGUGGUGUUUCUCUUGCUUGUGCGAUUGUUCUAGCCUCGAUGUGGACGGUCCUCCGAGGACGGGUUUUACCUUCCUCGUCCCCAUACCCGAUUCUCAUAUAUUUAUCCAUUAGCCUAUCCAUACCCAACGAGGAUGAGAAAUUGAAUCUCAUCCCCGUCCCUGACGGGUUCGGGUAUCCCCACCCCAUCCCCGUAUCGAAUAAUUUUUUUUAAUAAAAAAUAGAAUUUUUUUGCAUCCCUAAGAGCAACGUUGUAAUACAUUAUCCAACAAUAUGCUCACUUUAACAUUUGUUAGACGGAAUGAUUUAGUUGAUCCUUUAAAUAUCAAUGGUAGUUUUUAUUAACAUGACAAUUAUCAAACAAAAUAACAUAUAUAUCAACAUAAAGUAAUUUUUUACAUUUGGGACGGGUAUGGGUUCGGAGUGGGUACCUAUAUACCCGUUACCCGUCCCAUACCCGUGUUUUGAAAUCGGGGAAAACCCAUACCCAUACCCAAACUCAGUCAAAACGGGGAAAACCCGUCAAAUUGGGUUUGGUUCGGGCGGGUAACCGCGAGUAUGAGUUUUGUUGUCAUGCCUACUUGUGACCCAACAAUUUUCAAUACAACUUUAAUUUUUUUCUUCCAACUUUACCCUUAAUAAAUACUCCAACUUUUCUCUCACACAAUUUUCAAUGCAACUUUAAGUUUUUCUUUUUUGCUUAUAAAGUAAGGGCAAUUUAGUAAAAGUGUUGUGUCAAAUAAUUAUUUCAUUCCAUUUCUUAAUGUGUGUCAAAACCUUAAACGACACUCAUUGUGAAACGAAGAGAGUAAUAAAUUUUUGAGUAUGUUUGCAAAGGAUUUGUGAUUCCAGAGGUGUCAACUUAGUUACGAUGUCUAUCGUCACUUUGAUACAAGUUCACACUUUUGCUUUAUCUAAUAAAGAAGAAAUAUGGUACUCCAUAUUUUAUAUUUCUACGAACCUAGACUCAAAACCAUACCAUGUUCUUGUACUAUAAAUUACAUAAAAACAAUUGAAAAAUCACAAAAGAAUUAAUAAGUAGCAAAUUUAUAAAUAUAUACUCAAUAGCAUCGAGUGGAUUAAAAUAAGAAAGACACAAUAAAAUCAAAUUGAUAUAAAAUGUACAUGUAUAUCAAAUAAAUCUGAAAAUUUAAUAAUUCAAACUUAAAUUCAAAUUUCUAUGAACCUAGACUCAAAAUCAUAUUAUGCUCUCAUACAUUAUAUUACAUAUAACCAAUAAAAAACAAUUGGGGUCAAUUUCACUCUUUCUGAAUUUUCCACCCAAAACUCAUUUGGGGUCAACUUUGUUGAUGCAUCAUAUUUAUUACUUAUGUGGCAGAACUCAUAUGUCUCACUUAAUCAAUCUCAACAAGCACAUGUUUAAUGUAACCAAAAAAAACAAGCACAUGUUUAAUAAGCGCUGAUAGAUCAUUAAUAACUCACAUAAGCAAGAAUGAUUCGAAAUUUGGACAAAAAGAAACAAACUUUUACAAUAGGAAUUAGCAAAACUUUUUUUUUUUUUGAAAACAGGGAAAUCAAAAUUGUAUUUUUGUUAGAGUAAAAUGAACAAAAGAAAUUUGAACAAAUUAAAAUGAGAUAUAAUAUUAACAACAAUGAUUCAUUCCGUACAAGGUGUGCAAGGGCGAAACCACCUAAGAGUAUUUACAAGAUCAAGGUGGGCAAAACAAGGAAGCACCACCAAAGCUAAACAAAUUACAAGUGGACACUCAUGCAAAGAAGCGGAUGUUUCACCAAUUAUAAAAACUAUAGUGAAAAGUCACCUGUUUUGAUUUAAACCAUAAGAAAGAAUUUAAUUUGACCUGUUCGACAAGAACAAAAAGAUUAGAGACCGUAUUUUGGAACAUACGGUUGUUCCUUUCCUUCCAAAGCAUCUAAACAGAGGCAAACCAAAUUAUUUUCAUGAAUGUAUGAGUGAAUCUAGCUAGGCAACUCCGUCAUAGAAGUGAAUAGAAUGAAAUAUUGUUUGAUGUCACCAGGAGAAACCAAAGAAAUAUGUAACCAACGUCAAACAUAAGACCAAAGAGAGAUGAAUAUAUCACAAUAUAAGAACAGAUGUGUUGCCGUUUCCAAACCUCCACAACCUGAAAUGCAAGCCGUAUCUAUAGGUUAAAUGACAUUACCACCGUACCAAAUUAUCUUUUGUAGGAAGUCUAUUGCGGAGAAGCCGCCAAACGAACAGAGACACCUUUGACGGAAUAUGCUUUUGCCAGACAUCAUCAACCAGAGUCCUAUCCAAACGAUCAUCGGAUGUGGUAAGAAAGCGAUAUGCUCCCUUCACCGAAUAACCCUGAAUAGGAUCUAACAACCAAUGCCAAGCAUCAUGGACAUUUUUCUGCAAAACAGUGUUGUGAAGUAAAACAGAACACUUCCUCUCACUCUCCUCCUCCCAAGCAAACAAACGACAGCGCCACACCCUCUCCCCUCCCCCAACCGCACCAAUAUCCCUCCUUGCCUCCGCCACCAAACACUCCUUAUUCACAAAUAUAUACUUAAUAAAAUCGAGUUGACGAAUCGUUUGAGUGAACCCAAAUUCGAUUUCUGGUGAAAACAACUUUUAAUCAUAUUUUACAUACCAACAAGCUUGACCCUAGAUUACAAGGAGAACUGAAGCUUUAACACACAAAAAUUGCAAAAAAAAUUUAUGUAAUUAUUAUGAACAAAAAUUCUUUUUGUCAUUAUUUAUUAUGAACAAAAAUUUACAUAUGUGUCUCGUCUAUAUUAUAGACUAAAUACAUCAGUUCUUCAAUGAAUUUAAAUAUUGAAUUUUUGUUUAUAAUAGUGACCGGAAGAAGUAUUGAGUAAUUUUGAAAUCAAUAUUAUUAGGAAAAAAAUUAGGAAAUCAAAUAAUUUUUAUUUUUAAAGGAAAUACUUUUAAUAUAUGUUGAAUUUUACAUUGAUCAAAUCAAAAUUAAAUAAAUAUUUUAGGCCGCUAAAAUCAAAUAUUUCCGCCCUAGAUCAAAUAAGUAAUGAUAUUUGUACAACUAUUUUGUAACAAUUUUCUUUCUCUCUUCUUAUUGGUCAAAAACAAUAGAGAGAAAAAGAAAGAGAAAGCAAUAAACCAAUAACACAAUAUAAAGAUGAAAAAGAAGUUGUCCAAAAAUUAUGAUAAAAUAGUUAUAUAAAUAUCAUUUCGCAAAUCAAAUACAUAUUUUACUUGCGUGUAUGAAAGUGGUGUUUACGGUCAAUCCCAUCAACCUGAAAUUUAAUUUCACCCCAGAGUAUGUUCUUAUAAACUAAGGUGUGAACAUUGUAUAUUUUUUUCUUUUUUUUGCAAAAACCGAUAUGGUGCCAUAAAUCGAGGCUAAAAAAUUAUCUCACAAAUUUUUCAUCACAUCACAAUCUAUAUAAGCACAUGCAUGGUGGUUUACGGGGCUUGAACGCUUGAGAGCAUCUAGGGCAAACAUCAGUAUCCAACAUCCAACGAUGAUGUUUUGUUAAGAGCUUUCCAUGUGAGAUUUUCCAAUGGAAAGUACGGAUUCUUGGAGGACUAGUCCACUUCCCCACUAAGUUAAAGUUAGAGACUCAAUUGGGUUUUAACGAUCUCUACCAUCAAAGUUAGUUAGACAUAUUUUGAUACCAAAGAAUUGAAAUAUCUGUUCAUUUUAUUAUUUAUUUUUGUUUGAAAAAACAUGUUUAUUUUAUUUUAAUGUUUCUGAGACCUAAAUCAAUUAUGUCUUUUUAAAAAUUCUCAUAAUUUUUCUCAAUUGUUGCAUACAAUUGACAGAAUCUAUACUAUAUUUUAUACUAAAUAUAUAAAGAAAAUAGAGGGUUUCGGGGAGAUUUGGGCUGAUUUUUUUUGUUAUUUUAAUUUUACCCUUAAACAAAUUUUUAUAUAAUAAUACUAUAUUAUUGGUGUUAUUAAAAAAGGUAAAAAAAAAUGUUAUAUUUGUUGUAUUAUUUUUUGAAUGAUAUAUUUGUUAUAUUAUUUUUGUCAUUGAAAAUUAUAAAUAUAGUUUCUUAAGUUUGUUACAUUUGAAAGUCAAAAAAUAUCUAUACUUGUAAUUUUUUUAUCUAUAUAAAAAAAUUAUAAAAAAUAGUUAUAAUCUACAAGCGUUAACGCAAUAAAAAGAGCAGAAAUAGCAUGUGAAUGCCCAUCUUUUCGCUAGUAUGAAUAAAGAGCAUCUUUGUGUUCUGUCCAUAUCACAUUUUAUCUUCCGAAACAUGUUUUUGCCGUCCCUACUUAAAAAAAUUCCUCAAAAGAUAUAUAUAUAUAUAUAUAUAUAUAUAUAUAUAUAUAUAUAUAUAUAUAUAUAUAUAUAUAUUUUUGAAUAACUUCCUCAAAAGAAUUGAAUCCUUGUGAAACAAGAAUGCCUUCAAUUGCGUUGCUUGAUCAUUAUUUGCUAUGAUAGCAUGUUGCAAUUUUAAUAUUUUAUUCAUUUUAGUGUAUGCAAACAUAUACAAUGAAAUCACUGAUAUUUCUGCACUUCUACUUUUACGUCGUAAUCUCUCCAUCUAGUCUAAAAUCAAAAUCAAAAUCAAAAUCAAUAUAUAAAAAAUCUUAAUGUCGAUUUGAAAAGAAUAUAACAACUAUACGUGCCAACUUGGCAGGUGGAUGAUACAACAAUAAUCAAGACAUGGCAUUGGAUACGAACCAAGCAUGUUCCUUUUUAUUAUGGUGACAUUACACAGUUACUACUACUUGCAGCUUCUAUCUUCUCUUCUGUUUGUAAUGAAAUGAAAAUUACAUACUCCCUCCGUCCCAAAUUGUAUGACGUUUUGGCCAUUUCACACGUAUUAAGAAAUGUAAUUAAUAUUGUGUGGGGAAGAGA
rnacentral:lncRNA from 1 species